rnacentral:lncRNA from 1 species
CCUCAUCCAACUUUCGUUUAUUCAUUAAAAGCUCCUUUAAAAACUUGACUAUGUCUGGCAUCUACGAAAGGACUUAAUAAAUGGUAAGUUAAUAUGUAGUUUCUUUAAAAGUUUAAGAAAUUUACCAAAUUGUUCGUCUGAUCGGUCUUUCCUUGUCGCAUUGGGGUAUGGCACAUUAGGUUUAUAUUUUGUACUCACUAGCUUUGGGUCAUUUUGGCCUCCC